AUGAUUAUCACUAUCUGUUUAGCAAUGGUGUUUGAGCUUUUACAUUGGCUUUGAGAGGAAUAUGGAUUGAUUCGUGGCUUGAUAUUCCUUUGCUUUUCAUGUUUUCAUUUGAAUGUCAUGUUAUGGAUCGGGUUAUUGAUCCUUUGUUUGAAUUUCUGAUAUAUUUAGGAAAUGAAUGGAAAAAGAUAUUUAAAUUUGAAACUUUUUAAUAACAUGGUCUACAUUAUGUCAUUGCUGCUCUGUUUGAUUUUUGAGAAAAUGAAGAAACAAGCAUUUUACAAUGUGUUUAGGUUGUACCCUGUUUCUUUACUUCGAGAUUCAAAGAACUCCUUAGUUUUUAAAAAUUGCCAUUCAAAUAUGAAUAGAAACGGCAGAAUUUUGUCCCAUCUGUCUUAUUUUAUUUUGUUUUUUUGUCUUAUUUUUGUGUUAUCUGACUGAUUGAGUAAAGGAAAAGAUUGAGGCAACCAUUGAACAAUUAUUGGUUCGACACAGAUGUUUUCAUGAUUUUUUUUAUAUUAACUAGAAUUAUUUUGUUCAUGUAUUGUCUAACCUGGGUGAUAAGUUAGUAUCUAUUCUUGUAAAUUUUAGCUUAACAUAUUGAAGACAAUAUCAUGGUUAGACUUUGUUACUAUAUCCAGAUGGUAUUCGAUGGUGCAUGCCGAUGGGUCUAUUAUCCAGACCUUUGAUUACUUGAGGCAACAUGGGCUGCAAGGAUUUGUAGACAUAUGGCCAAGACCCACUGUUAUCGCUUGGAAAAUAAUUGCUUGUUAUGCAGCAUUUGAGGCUGCCCUUCUGCUUCUUCUGCCUAGAAAAAGGGUUGAAGGCCCAAUAUCUCCUGCUGGGAACCAACCUGUUUACAAGGCAAAUGGUGUGGCAGCGUACGCAGUGACACUAUCAACCUAUCUAAGCCUUUGGUGGUCCAAGUCCACAUCAUUUGAACGAGCUGAGACCAAGUCCGCAGAAUCCAGUGAGUGAAAAGACCAUUUUCCUGGUUGACCAAAAGCAAGGGUCAACAAUAAUCGUUUAAAGAUGAUCAACCAUGACUUUUUUCAAUCAUCUUGAUCUAUCAGCUACUAUCAUAGAGAAGUUACCAAUAGAGUUAAAAGCCCUGGUAAAUCUUAAAUGGUUGGACUUGGAUUAUUCUUGGGACCUGCAUAAAAUUCCACAUCAGCUAAUAUCUCAUUUUU